AGUGAACGCUGGCGGCAGGCCUAACACAUGCAAGUCGAGCGGCAGCGGGUCCUUCGGGAUGCCGGCGAGCGGCGGACGGGUGAGGAAUACAUCGGAAUCUGCCCUGUCGUGGGGGAUAACCUAGGGAAACUUAGGCUAAUACCGCAUACGACCUACGGGUGAAAGCGGGGGAUAGCAAGACCUCGCGCGACAGGAUGAGCGGAUGGCCGGUUGGCUGGUUGGCGGGGUAAAGGCCCACCAAGGCGACGAUCGGUAGCUGGUCUGAGAGGAUGAUCAGCCGCACGGGGCCUGGGACCCGGCCCGGCCCCCUCCGGGAGGCAGCGGUGGGGAUUUUUGGCCAUUGGGCGAAGGCCUGUUCCAGCCAUGCGGCGUGGGUGAAGAAGGCCUUCGGGUGGUAAAGCCCUUUUGUCCGGGAAGAAAUCGUCUGGGCUAAUACCCCGGGCGGAUGCCGGUACCGAAAGAAUAAGCACCGCCUACCUUCGG
rnacentral:rRNA from 1 species